ACUUUAAUAGUUUAAGAAAUAAAACACUGGUCUUGUAAAUCAGAACUGGGAAUAUUCCCUUAAAGUA
rnacentral:tRNA from 1 species